rnacentral:rRNA from 1 species
AUGACCAAGGAGAGGAAGGUGUCGUGGAACUGCGCCGAUGUCGAGGGCGUGUCGGCCGGCGUCACCCCGGCGCCAUGCGCGCCGCUGCAGGGCACCCACGCCGGCUCCUACCCGUUCCCUACGGACACGCUCGCCGUCGACCAGAUCGCCGUGCAGCAAUGCUCAUACUCCAUUGCACCAGCUGCUUCUUCAGUGACUGGGACAGAGUAG